CCAUCUCCAUUCUCCACUCUCUAACCCUAAAACUCUCCACCUCCAAAGUCCAAAACUCCAAAUUGACGGCUAUCUCUUCACCAGUCCAGGUCGUCGCCUCUAGCCAGCCCGUCGCCUCCAGUUUCCACCCGUCGUCUCCAGCCAUCGAACAGUUGCCUCCGCCCUUCAGCCAUCUAUGCCGCUUCCAAGAAGGUGUUGAAUAAUGAAAGUCAAACAGUUGGAGAUGUCCUUGGUACUUGGAAAUUUGAGCAAGAAGAGGUCAUGAAGCUUAAGUUUGUUGAAGGGGAGUCUUUUCAACACUUUUCCAUCUAGAAAAGGAACUCGCCCAACACAAUAUGAUGAAAACAUAGAACAACGUAUUUGAAGAUAUUGAAGAGCGAAUAUCUGUGGUGAAAUCUCCAUUAGUUUAUGUACUCCUAUGAAACUUUGGUUUGGUUGAUAUUGAUGUUGUAGCCUAAAUAUUGAUUUUUGUUGGUUGAUGGAUAUUAAUCAUGAUAUGGUUUUAUGAUUUCUUAUU